GAUGAACGCUGGCGGCGUGCCUAAUACAUGCAAGUCGAGCGAACGGACGAGAAGCUUGCUUCUCUGAUGUUAGCGGCGGACGGGUGAGUAACACGUGGAUAACCUACCUAUAAGACUGGGAUAACUUCGGGAAACCGUAGCUAAUACCGGAUAAUAUUUUGAACCGCAUGGUUCAAAAGUGAAAGACGGUCUUGCGGUCACUUAUAGAUGGAUCCGCGCUGCAUUAGCUAGUUGGUAAGGUAACGGCUUACCAAGGCAACGAUGCAUAGCCGACCUGAGAGGGUGAUCGGCCACACUGGAACUUAGACACGGUCCAGACUCCUACGGGAGGCAGCAGUAGGGAAUCUUCCGCAAUGGUCGAAAGCCUGACGGAGCAACGCCGCGUGAGUGAUGAAGGUCUUCGGAUCGUAAAACUCUGUUAUUAGGGAAGAACAUAUGUGUAAGUAACUGUGCACAUCUUGACGGUACCUAAUCAGAAAGCCACGGCUAACUACGUG
rnacentral:rRNA from 1 species